AGUGAACGCUGGCGGUAGGCCUAACACAUGCAAGUCGAACGGCAGCACAGUAAGCGCUUGCUCUUACUGGUGGCGAGUGGCGGACGGGUGAGGCAUACAUCGGAAUCUACUUUUUCGUGGGGGAUAACGUAGGGAAACUUACGCUAAUACCGCAUACGACCUACGGGUGAAAGCAGGGGAUCUUCGGACCUUGCGCGAUUGAAUGAGCCGAUGUCGGAUUAGCUAGUUGGCGGGGUAAAGGCCCACCAAGGCGACGAUCCGUAGCUGGUCUGAGAGGAUGAUCAGCCACACUGGAACUGAGACACGGUCCAGACUCCUACGGGAGGCAGCAGUGGGGAAUAUUGGACAAUGGGCGAAAGCCUGAUCCAGCCAUACCGCGUGGGUGAAGAAGGCCUUCGGGUUGUAAAGCCCUUUUGUUGGGAAAGAAAAGCAGCAGGUUAAUACCCCGCUGUUCUGACGGUACCCAAAGAAUAAGCACCGGCUAACUUCGUG
rnacentral:rRNA from 1 species